AACCCAGGGAAACUUGGGCUAAUACCGCAUGAGUGCAGCGCAUAAAGCAUCUUUAGGUGGGUGUUUUAUGCGUUGCAUAAAAGGUGGCCUUCGGGCUGUCGUUUGAGGAUGAGUCUGCGUCCUAUUAGUUAGUUGGUGAGGUAAUGGCUCACCAAGGCGAUGAUAGGUAGGCGGCCUUAACGGGUGGCCGCCCACACUGGGAUUGAGAUACGGCCCAGACUCCUACGGGAGGCAGCAGUCGAGAAUAGUCUACAAUGGACGAAAGUCUGAUAGUGCGACGCCGCGUGAACGAAGAAUCCCUUCGGGGUGUUAAAAAGUUCUUUUAUAUGUGAGCAAUGCUUUUUAUGUGAAUAGCAUGAGAAGGGAGAUAUUAGCAUAUGAAUAAGCAACGGCUAACUCCGUGCCAGCAGCGGC
rnacentral:rRNA from 1 species